rnacentral:rRNA from 1 species
UACAGAGGGGGCAAGCGUUGUUCGGAAUUACUGGGCGUAAAGGGCGCGUAGGCGGCCUGCUAAGUCGAACGUGAAAUCCCUGGGCUCAACCCAGGAACUGCGUCCGAUACUGGUUGGCUUGAAUCCGGGAGAGGGAUGUGGAAUUCCAGGUGUAGCGGUGAAAUGCGUAGAUAUCGGGAGGAACACCAGUAGCGAAGGCGGCUCGCUGGGCCGUUCCUGACGCUGAGACGCGAAAGCGUGGGGAGCAAACAGG